GCCUGGCCUGAAGAGCGGCCUGGGAUCGAGGCUACCUUCUCUCUAGCCUCACUCUAGCUAGUCUCGAGGCCAGAUUCUGAUAAGGAGAGUUUGGCCUCGAGACUAUAAUUAUAAGCUGGAACUAUAGGUGUGGCAUGAGGGGGCGUUCAGGAAUAACAGGGCAAGGCCUCAAACAUACUUAGCACAUGGUGCUUGCAGCUGCACCAGACUGCAGCUGCUAAUGCAGCUUUAUAUCAUCACUGACUGCAUGCCUGUACCCCUGGCCCUGGGCUACCAUGUUCCAUGUACACCAGCUAGGAUCUAGGAGUCAAGAGUCACCUGCAUCUGCAGCUUGAAAGAAAAGACAAUUGCAAAUUUUCCACCAUCUCAAAGAAAAAAUUUACAAAUCACUGCUAUAUACCGUAUUGGCGUAUAACUCCACCAUGUACCAGCUUCAAAGAAAAAGGAUUUAAGUUAUGUUGCUCAUUGCUAAAUAAAUGUGUUUACGUGUUUCUUCCAGCUGCAGAUUUUACCGUACCUCGGCCCCAUGCACAAUGUGUACCAGCUAGGAGUCUACUUAACCACCUUCAUCGACUUCAAAGAAACGACUUGCAAGUUAUGUCAGAUUCCAUAAAACUAUAUAGCUAGCUAGAGGGCAACUGUCCCUGGUUUCGACCUUCAUCUGUAGCAUACUGAUUUACGAGUUUGUGUCUUCAUGUGUCAGUUACACUGGUUUCGACUGGUCAACUUCGUCCAUGGGGUGAUAGCUAGUAUACUGAUUUACGAGUUUGUGUGUAUGUGUCCUCAUGUGUCAGUUACACUGGUUUCGACUGGUCAACUUCGUUCAUGGGGUGAUAGCUAGCAUACUGAUUUACGAGUUUGUGUGUAUGUGUCCUCACGUGUCAGUUACACUGGUUUCGACUGGUCAACUUCGUCCAUGGGGUGAUAGCUAGCAUUGUAAUUUACCAGUUUGUGUGUAUGUGUCCUCACGCGUCAGUUACACUGGUUUCGACUGGUCAACUUCGUCCAUGGGGUGAUAGCUAGCAUUGUAAUUUACCAGUUUGUGUGUAUGUGUCCUCACGCGUCAGUUACACUGGUUUCGACUGGUCAACUUCGUCCAUGGGGUGAUAGCUAGCAUUGUAAUUUACCAGUUUGUGUGUAUGUGUCCUCACGUGUCAGUUACACUGGUUUCGACUGGUCAACUUCGUCCAUGGGGUGAUAGCUAGCAUUGUAAUUUACCAGUUUGUGUGUAUGUGUCCUCAUGCGUCAGUUACACUGGUUUCGACUGGUCAACUUCGUCCAUGGGGUGAUAGCUAGCAUACUGAUUUACGAGUUUGUGUGUAUGUGUCCUCACGUGUCAGUUACACUGGUUUCGACUGGUCAACUUCGUCCAUGGGGUGAUAGCUAGCAUACUGAUUUACGAGUUUGUGUGUAUGUGUCCUCAUGUGUCAGUUACACUGGUUUCGACUGGCCAACUUCGUCCAUGGGGUGAUAGCUAGUAUACUGAUUUACGAGUUUGUGUGUAUGUGUCCUCAUGUGUCAGUUACACUGGUUUCGACUGGUCAACUUCGUCCAUGGGGUGAUAGCUAGCAUUUAUACUGAUUUACGAUUUUGUGUGUAUGUGUCCUCACGUGUCAGUUACACUGGUUUCGACUGGUCAACUUCGUCCAUGGGGUGAUAGCUAUAGCAUACUGAUUUACGAGUUUGUGUGUAUAUGUGUCCUCACGUGUCAGUUACACUGGUCAACUUCGUCCAUGGGGGUGAUAGCUUAUACUAUUUACAUUUUGCACUACAUAAUUAUGUGUUGGUAACUAUAGUGACUUCAAUCUUUUGUUCUGUAGGGGCUUAUUGUGACGAAAAUGAUCUGAGGGAUGUAGCGUUCAUGAAACCAAACGAAACGCCUGCAGUUCACUGUACUGGAAUUUCAAGAAACGCUAAGUGAUGAACACUAAAAACAAUUUACUGACAGAAGAAAUGUAUUGUGCUGCAUGUCAUGUGAUCCAGUGAUCUUAUUCUAUCAUAAACUCA